GAUGAACGCUGGCUGCAGGCUUAACACAUGCAAGUCGAGGGGAAACGCCGGGGAAGCUUGCUUCCCCGGGCGUCGACCGGCGCACGGGUGAGUAACGCGUAUCCAACCUGCCUCUGACUUAGGGAUAACCCGUCGGAAGUCGUCCUAAUACCUCAUGGCAUCGUCUGGGGGCGGCCAGCGACGAUUAGAGGGUUCGUCGGUCAGUGAUGGGGAUGCGUCGGAUUAGCUUGUUGGCGGGUUAACGGCGCACCAAGGCGUGGAUUAGUAGGGGUGCUGAGAGGAAGGUCCCCGACAUGGGAACCGGGCCAAGGGCCAAACUCCUACGGGAGGCAGCAGUGCGGAAUACUGGUCAAUGGGCGAGAGCAUGAACCAGCCAAGUAGCGUGCAGGAUGACGGCGCUCUGGGUUGUAAACUGCUUUUAUGAGGGGAUAAAGUGAGGGACGUGUCCGUCAUUGAAGGUACCGGAUGAAUAAGGACCGGCUAACUCCGUG
rnacentral:rRNA from 1 species